rnacentral:rRNA from 1 species
AUUGAACGCUGGCGGCAUGCCUUACACAUGCAAGUCGAACGGCAGCGGGCCUUCGGGUGCCGGCGAGUGGCGAACGGGUGAGUAAUGCAUCGGAACGUGCCAUUGAGUGGGGGGAUAACGUAGCGAAAGUUGCGCUAAUACCGCAUAUUCUGUGAGCAGGAAAGCAGGGGACCGCAAGGCCUUGCGCUCUUUGAGCGGCCGAUGUCAGAUUAGCUAGUUGGUGGGGUAAAGGCCUACCAAGGCGACGAUCUGUAGCGGGUCUGAGAGGAUGAUCCGCCACACUGGAACUGAGACACGGUCCAGACUCCUACGGGAGGCAGCAGUGGGGAAUUUUGGACAAUGGGGGCAACCCUGAUCCAGCCAUGCCGCGUGAGUGAAGAAGGCCU